rnacentral:rRNA from 1 species
UACAGAGGGGGCAAGCGUUGUUCGGAAUUACUGGGCGUAAAGGGCGCGUAGGCGGCUUUGCAAGUGGCGGGUGAAAUCCCUCGGCUUAACCGAGGAACUGCCUGCCAGACUGUGAGGCUUGAGACCGGGAGAGGUGAGUGGAAUUCCCAGUGUAGCGGUGAAAUGCGUAGAUAUUGGGAGGAACACCAGUGGCGAAGGCGGCUCACUGGACCGGAACUGACGCUGAGGCGCGAAAGCGUGGGGAGCAAACAGG